GAGAUGAGAAUGUGCCUUCGGGAACCGUGAGACAGGUGCUGCAUGGCUGUCGUCAGCUCGUGUUGUGAAAUGUUGGGUUAAGUCCCGCAACGAGCGCAACCCUUAUCCUUUGUUGCCAGCGGUCCGGCCGGGAACUCAAAGGAGACUGCCAGUGAUAAACUGGAGGAAGGUGGGGAUGACGUCAAGUCAUCAUGGCCCUUACGACCAGGGCUACACACGUGCUACAAUGGCGCAUACAAAGAGAAGCGACCUCGCGAGAGCAAGCGGACCUCAUAAAGUGCGUCGUAGUCCGGAUUGGAGUCUGCAACUCGACUCCAUGAAGUCGGAAUCGCUAGUAAUCGUGGAUCAGAAUGCCACGGUGAAUACGUUCCCGGGCCUUGUACACACCGCCCGUCACACCAUGGGAGUGGGUUGCAAAAGAAGUAGGUAGCUUAACCUUCGGGAGGGCGCUUACCACUUUGUGAUUCAUGACUGGGGUGAAGUCGUAACAAGGUAACCGUAGGGGAACCUGCGGUUGGAUCACCUCCUUACCUUAAAGAAGC
rnacentral:rRNA from 1 species